AUGCCGGUGGCGCACAAACGCUUCCACUUUGAGGACUAUUGGCUUAGGCUUGACGGCUUCCACGACACCGUUGCCGCGGCUUGGAGCUCCGCGCAUGACGACGACCCUUUCCGGCGGCUGGUCAAGCGUCUCCAGGCCACUGCUCGACGCUUAUCGAGUUGGAGCGCCAAGUCCACGGGCAACAUACGGGAAAAGCUGGCCAUAUCCCGCGAGCUGAUCUUGCGCUUCGACAAAGCACGGGAGGACCGGGCGCUCUCCCCUCCGGAGGAAUGGCUCCGCAAGCAGCUCAAGGUCGCCUACCUCGGCAUGGCAUCCUUGGAGCGCACAAUCGCCAGGCAGCGCGCCCGUAUCGCGUCUCUCAAGGACGGCGACGCCAACAUGAGCUUCUUCCACCGGCAAUGCUCCUAUCGGCGACAGAAGAACCGCAUAUACAGCCUUGCCGUCCACGGGCAUGUGCUCACGGCUCAUGAGGAAAUGGCCAACGCAGCGUUCUCGCAUUUUGAUGGCCUGCUGGGCACCGCUGUGGACCGGGCGCACACGCUGGAUCUCUCCCAGCUCAUUGAGCCCAGCGACCUUGCAUGCCUAGACGUGCCCUUCAGCCAGGAGGAGAUUUGGGAGGCGGUCAAACGCAUGCCGGCGCGUAAAGCGCCUGGACCGGAUGGAUUCACCGCGGAGUUUCUGCGUGCCUGCUGGAGCAUCAUUCGCCAUGACAUAUGGGACGUUUUCGAGCUGCUUUACACGCUGCGCGGCCGCGGGUUCAGCAAGCUUAACCAAGCGCUGCUGACCCUGCUGCCUAAGCGCGCGGACGCCCACACGCUUGGUGACUACCGGCCGAUAUGCCUGAUCCACAUUGUGGCCAAGAUCGUCUCGAAGGUCCCGUCGUUGCGCCUCGCCCCCAAGCUGGAUACCCUUGUAAGCAGCAACCAAAAUGCAUUCAUUGCCGGGCGCAGCCUCCAUGACAACUUCGUCCUAGUCCGGCAGUCCCUCAAGAUGCUGCACCAACUUGGCGCACCCAGGAUCAUGCUCAAGCUCGACCUCACACGUGCCUUCGACUCCAUCUCGUGGCCCUUCCUCUUUGAGGUGCUGCGCAAGUAUGGAUUUGGGGACCGAUUCCGGGAGUGGAUGGCCAUUCUGCUCUCCUCGGCAAGCACGCGGGUCAUGAUCAAUGGAGUUCCCGGCCCGCCAAUCUGGCACCGGCGCGGCCUACGACAAGGUGACUCCACCUCCCCACAACUCUUCGUGCUGGCGGUGGACACCCUUGGGAGGCUGAUGCGACACGCCCUACAGACCGGCAUCCUUCAGCAGCUGCAUCCCCGACGAGCCAUCCCGGCGAUCUCUCUUUACGCCGAUGAUGUGAUGAUGUUCUGCCAUGCCACUACUGAGGAGAUCGCCGCUGUCAAAGGCAUCCUGGACGUGUUCGGUACGGCUUCUGGGCUCCGUGUGAACUACGCCAAGAGCUCGGCCACGAUCCUUCACGCCGGCGACUACGAAGUGGGGCUGCUGGAGCCACUCGGGUGCCCCGUCAUGGCCUUGCCGGUUACUUACCUGGGCAUCCCGCUCUCCACUCACCGCCCAUCCGCAGCACAGCUGCAACCCCUCGUCGACGCGGUGGCGGGCCGGCUGCCUUCCUGGAAAGCUUGGCUGAUGAACAAAGCGGGACGGCUAGCUCUCGUCAAAUCGGUGCUUAAUGCAAUACCGAUCCAUCAACUGCUAGCGCUUGCGCCCCCAAGGAAAACCCUGAAGCAAUUAGAGAAGAUUCAGCGCGGGUUUCUUUGGGCCGGCCGCGCGGAUGCCCACGGUGGACAUUGCCACGUCAACUGGCGUAAGGUUUGCCGUCCGCUUGAAUAUGGCGGCCUUGGCAUCCGGGACCUCGAGCGCACGGGGCUAUCACUUCGGCUGCGCUGGCUAUGGCUCACGCGCACGGACACUACUCGAGCCUGGCAGGGGCUGGACACGCAAUUUACGACGGAGGAGCGUGCGCUCUUUUACGCCUCCACGACUAUGGCCAUUGGAGACGGCAGGACAGCCCUGUUCUGGGAGGAUCGCUGGCUUGGUGGCCAAUCCGUCCGCGAGCUUGCGCCUAGGCUCCUCAAGUGCAUCCCCAAGCAACGUCAAAAAUCUAGAACGGUGGCGGAGGCCCUGGCCGGCAAUAGUUGGGCACGUGACAUCCAUGGCCUGCUAGGCCUCCCGGAGAUUGGACAGUACCUUCAGCUCUGGCACUUAGUGCAACAUGUCGAGCUGUCCAAUGAGCCGGACAGGCUGCUCUGGAGCUGGACAGCCAGCGGCGUCUACACCGCCCAGUCUUUCUACCGGGCAACUUUCCAGGGCGCGACGGGCUGCCACUCCUGGAAGCUCAUUUGGAGGAGCUGGGCACCGUCCAAGGUGAAAUUCUUCCACUGGCUGGCAUGUCAAGAUCGCUGUUGGACCGCGGAGAGACUCGCACGCCGUGGCCUGCAACAUCACCCGCGGUGCCUUCUGUGCGAUCAGGAACCGGAGACGAUCGGGCAUCUGAUGCUCACAUGCCCAUUCACUAAGCAGACAUGGCAGGAGGUCUUAUCUUGGCUGCGCUUGCCGGCGCCGGCGCCCGAGCACGACGGCUCGCUCAUGGAUUGGUGGCUGCGCGCAAAGGAAUACACACCACCAGCGCUCCGCAAGGCGCUCAAAUCUGUGGCACUUUUGGUACCGUGGAUGAUCUGGAAGCAUAGAAAUGCGUGUGUUUUCGACCAUGUGAACCCAUCGCUGAACGAGCUUGUAGACAGGAUCAAAGACCAGAUGUUGGGCAAAGGCUGGAGCUCAAGGGCUCAGGGUCGUUUUGCCAUCAUCCUGGGACGUGCACUGAGCCUCUGUUGUCUGUGUGUACUAACCGCCUCCUACGAGGAUGUAAAUACCCUCUCUUUCCAAUGCAAUGAAACGCAAAGGCCAUUUGCGUUUUCUCGAAAUCCUCAAGCUAUUAGGAUAUUUACCAAAUGGAAAAUUUUGAGUUUGUUCAUAAAUCAUCUAUUAUUAUCGUGUAGCAGUGCCUUGAAGGGCCUGAUAGUGCAGCUUCAAACUAUUAGGAUUACUAAACACCGAACUGGUAAAUUUGAAUUCACUUCAGUUUUUAUGGUUUGCAAUCAUGAUGUAUGCAGUAGUUUCCAUGUUUAUUACAUUUAA
rnacentral:rRNA from 1 species